rnacentral:rRNA from 1 species
AUACGGAAGGUCCGGGCGUUAUCCGGAUUUAUUGGGUUUAAAGGGAGCGCAGGCCGGUGUGUAAGCGUGACGUCAAAUACAGCCGCUCAACGGUUGUCCGCGUCGCGAACUGCAUGCCUUGAGUACGCUGCAAGUGGGCGGAAUUCGUGGUGUAGCGGUGAAAUGCUUAGAUAUCACGAAGAACUCCGAUUGCGAAGGCAGCCCGCUGUUGCGUCACUGACGCUGAGGCUCGAAGGUGCGGGUAUCGAACAGGAUUAGAUACCCUGGUAGUCCGCACUGUAAACGAUGGACACCCGCUGUGUGGCCUGUUUUUGGUUGCGCGGCCAAGCGAAAGCAUUAAGUGUCCCACCUGGGGAGUACGCCGGCAACGGUGAAACUCAAAGGAAUUGACGGGG